rnacentral:sRNA from 1 species
UCUGACAAGAUGCAGUGUAAAACAUUAAUUCUACUCUAUUAACUUUAAAAUGUGGUAUCCUCUCAUUUUGUUACUUAGUACCUGAGGAAAUCAGUUAAUUUUUCAUCAGAUUCCUGGAUAAAUAGGGAUAGUGUAUACCAUUCCUUCUGAAGAUCUUAUUGCAGCAGAAGAGGAUGAAACACAAAACCAGCAUGAUGAUAGUUCCUCCGAUUCAGGAACUCCUUCAGGCCCAGAUUUUAAUUAUAUUUUAAAUAUGUCUCUGUGGUCUCUUACUAAAGAAAAAGUUGAAGAACUGAUUAAACAGAGAGAUGCAAAAGGGCGAGAUGUCAAUGAUCUUAAAAGAAAAUCUCCUUCAGAUCUUUGGAAAGAAGAUUUAGCAGCAUUUGUUGAAGAAUUGGAUAAAGUGGAAUCUCAAGAACGAGAAGAUAUUCUGGCUGGAAUGUCUGGAAAAGCAAUUAAAGGUAAAGUUGGCAAACCUAAGGUGAAGAAACUCCAGUUGGAAGAGACAAUGCCCUCACCUUAUGGCAGAAGAAUAAUUC